CCUACGGGGGGCAGCAGUGGGGAAUAUUGCACAAUGGGGGAAACCCUGAUGCAGCGACGCCGCGUGAGUGAAGAAGGAAUUCGGUAUGUAAAGCUCUAUCAGCAGGGAAGAAAAUGACGGUACCUGAGUAAGAAGCCCCGGCUAACUACGUGCCAGCAGCCGCGGUAAUACGUAGGGGGCAAGCGUUAUCCGGAUUUACUGGGUGUCAAGGGAGCGUAGACGGCAGGGCAAGUCUGGAGUGAAAGGCGGGGGCUCAACCCCCGGACUGCUCUGGAAACUGCCAGGCUGGAGUGCAGGAGAGGUAAGUGGAAUUCCUAGUGUAGCGGUGAAAUGCGUAGAUAUUAGGAGGAACACCAGUGGCGAAGGCGGCUUACUGGACUGUAACUGACGUUGAGGCUCGAAAGCGUGGGGAGCAAACAGGAUUAGAUACCCCAGUAGUC
rnacentral:rRNA from 1 species